UCUUAUGGAUAGGCCAAGAAAGAGGUUUCUUGAGAUAGAAUCCACUCCUGGUGAAGAUGCUGUGAA
rnacentral:pre_miRNA from 4 species